GUGCUCACUACAGCAGCACAUAUACUAAAACUGGAACAAUACAGAGAAGAUUAGCAUGGCCCCUGAACAAGGAUGACAUGCAAAUUCAUGAAAUGUUCCAUAUUCUU
rnacentral:snRNA from 1 species